rnacentral:snRNA from 1 species
AGUGACUUAUGAUAAUCU